rnacentral:rRNA from 21 species
UACAACUUUCAACAACGGAUCUCUUGGUUCUGGCAUCGAUGAAGAACGCAGCGAAAUGCGAUACGUAGUGUGAAUUGCAGAAUUCAGUGAAUCAUCGAAUCUUUGAACGCACAUUGCGCCCUUUGGUAUUCCAAAGGGCAUGCCUGUUCGAGCGUCAUU